rnacentral:misc_RNA from 1 species
AACGCACAUUGCGCUCUCUGGUAUUCCGGAGAGCAUGCUUGUUUGAGUAUCAGUAAAACACCUCAAGUCCGCUCUUCAUCUUUUUGAAGACGGAUUUGGACUUGAGCGAUCCCAACAGGAGGGGCUUUCCCUUCUGGCGGGUUGCUUGAAAUGCAGGUGCAGCUGGAUUUUCAUCUGGGCUAUAAGCAUAUUUAUUUAGUCCCGUUAAACGGAUUAUUACUUUUUGCUGCAGCCAACGUAAAGGUUGAUUGUCCUCUUGCUGACUGAUGCAGGAAUUUUCGGGGGAUCGGCAACGAUUACCCGUUAAACUCGAUCUCAAAUCAAGUAAGACUACCCGCUGAACUUAA